rnacentral:rRNA from 1 species
AACGAACGCUGGCGGCAUGCCUAACACAUGCAAGUCGAACGAAGGUCUUGACUUCGGUUGGGGCCUUAGUGGCGCACGGGUGCGUAACGCGUGGGAAUCUGCCCUUCGGUUCGGAAUAACAGUUAGAAAUGACUGCUAAUACCGGAUGACGACGAAAGUCCAAAGAUUUAUCGCCGAGGGAUGAGCCCGCGUAGGAUUAGGUAGUUGGUGGGGUAAUGGCCUACCAAGCCGACGAUCCUUAGCUGGUCUGAGAGGAUGAUCAGCCACACUGGGACUGAGACACGGCCCAGACACCUACGGGAGGCAG